rnacentral:ribozyme from 14 species
CUCUAAUUUGUGUGGUUCUAAUUUACCGGUCGUGGAUGAGGUCGGUGGUGUGGAUGAAUUCAGUAAGGGAGUGGAUGUUGUAUUUCUUUCUUCUUCUUCUUCUUCUUCUCUCGACAUGGUGAGUGAGGACGUAAAAGUAUCAUUAUUCGAACUCAUCUUUUAUUUUAUUAUAUUAUUAUAUAUAGUUUCUUUCU